GAUGAACGCUGGCGGCGUGCCUAAUACAUGCAAGUCGAGCGAACAGACGAGGAGCUUGCUCCUCUGACGUUAGCGGCGGACGGGUGAGUAACACGUGGAUAACCUACCUAUAAGACUGGGAUAACUUCGGGAAACCGGAGCUAAUACCGGAUAAUAUAUUGAACCGCAUGGUUCAAUAGUGAAAGACGGUUUUGCUGUCACUUAUAGAUGGAUCCGCGCCGCAUUAGCUAGUUGGUAAGGUAACGGCUUACCAAGGCGACGAUGCGUAGCCGACCUGAGAGGGUGAUCGGCCACACUGGAACUGAGACACGGUCCAGACUCCUACGGGAGGCAGCAGUAGGGAAUCUUCCGCAAUCGGCGAAAGCCUGACGGAGCAACGCCGCGUGAGUGAUGAAGGUCUUCGGAUCGUAAAACUCUGUUAUUAGGGAAGAACAAAUGUGUAAGUAACUAUGCACGUCUUGACGGUACCUAAUCAGAAAGCCACGGCUAACUACGUG
rnacentral:rRNA from 1 species